rnacentral:rRNA from 1 species
GAUGAACGCUGGCGGCGUGCCUAAUACAUGCAAGUCGAGCGAACGGACGAGAAGCUUGCUUCUCUGAUGUUAGCGGCGGACGGGUGAGUAACACGUGGAUAACCUACCUAUAAGACUGGGAUAACUUCGGGAAACCGGAGCUAAUACCGGAUAAUAUUUUGAACCGCAUGGUUCAAAAGUGAAAGACGGUCUUGCUGUCACUUAUAGAUGGAUCCGCGCUGCCUUAGCUAGUUGGUAAGGUAACGGCUUACCAAGGCAACGAUGCAUAGCCGACCUGAGAGGGUGAUCGGCCACUCGGGAACUGAGACACGGUCCAAGCUCCUACGGGAGGCAGCAGUAGCGAAUCUGCCGCAAUGGGCAAAAGCCUGACGGAGCAACGCCGCGUAAGUGAUGAAGGUCUUCGGAGCGUAAAACUCUGUUAUUAUGGAAGAACAUAUGUGUAAGUAGCUGUACACAUCUUGACGGUACCUGAUCAGAAAGCCCCGGCUAACUACGUG